rnacentral:lncRNA from 1 species
CCGAUGGUGAUUAACUUGAGAGCAAAUUAAAACCUAGUACGGUAAAGCCACCAGGAUUCGAAUUCCGGCCACCGGAGAAUUAAUAUUUCAGCAUCGUCAGGAACAGAGAAUCGACACAUAGUAACACGUAACUAGUUUGGACCACUAAAAUAUUCAUGUAUAAUUCAAAGAAAAGAACUAGUGUAGUCUAUUUUAUGAGUAGGUGUAUAGUUAAUGAUGUUUUUGUUUAGAGAAUAU